rnacentral:rRNA from 1 species
UUGGAGGGCAAGUCUGGUGCCAGCAGCCGCGGUAAUUCCAGCUCCAAUAGCGUAUAUUAAAGUUGUUGCAGUUAAAAAGCUCGUAGUUGAAUUUCGGGAUCAAUGUUUCGGUCAUGCCGUUGGUAUGUACUGAUAUUAUUGGUUUCUCACCUUCUAAAGAACCGUAAUGCCAUUAAUUUGGUGUCACGGGGAAUUAGGACUGUUACCUUGAAAAAAUUAGAGUGUUUAAAGCAGGCUCACGCUUGAAUACAUUAGCAUGGAAUAAUGAAAUAGGACAUCCGAUUCUAUUUUGUUGGUUUCUAGGAUCGAUGUAAUGAUUAAUAGGGAUAGUUGGGGGCAUUAGUAUUCAAUUGUCAGAGGUGAAAUUCUUGGAUUUAUUGAAGACUAACUACUGCGAAAGCAUUUGCCAAGGAUGUUUUCAUUAAUCAAGAACGAAAGUUAGGGGAUCGAAGACGAUCAGAUACCGUCGUAGUCUUAGCCAUAAACUAUGCCGACUAGGGAUCGGAUGAUGUUAAUUUUUUAAUGACUCAUUCGGCGCCUUACGGGAAAC